rnacentral:rRNA from 1 species
UACGAAGGGUGCAAGCGUUACUCGGAAUUACUGGGCGUAAAGCGUGCGUAGGUGGUUUGUUAAGUCUGAUGUGAAAGCCCUGGGCUCAACCUGGGAAUUGCAUUGGAUACUGGCAGGCUAGAGUGCGGUAGAGGGUAGUGGAAUUCCCGGUGUAGCAGUGAAAUGCGUAGAGAUCGGGAGGAACAUCCGUGGCGAAGGCGACUACCUGGACCAGCACUGACACUGAGGCA